UUCCGGUUGAUCCUGCCGGACCCGACUGCUAUCAGAGUGGGACUAAGCCAUGCGAGUCAACAUAGCAAUAUGUGGCAUACGGCUCAGUAACACGUAGUCAACAUGCCCAGGGGACGUGGAUAACCUCGGGAAACUGAGGAUAAACCGCGAUAGGUCAUCACUUCUGGAAUGGGUAAUGACUUAAACCUAUAUGGCCCCUGGAUUGGACUGCGGCCGAUCAGGCUGUUGGUGAGGUAAUGGCCCACCAAACCUGUAACCGGUACGGGCUCUGAGAGGAGGAGCCCGGAGAUGGGCACUGAGACAAGGGCCCAGGCCCUAUGGGGCGCAGCAGGCGCGAAACCUCUGCAAUAGGCGAAAGCUUGACAGGGUUACUCUGAGUGAUUUCCGUUAAGGAGAUCUUUUGGCACCUCUAAAAAUGGUGCAGAAUAAGGGGUGGGCAAGUCUGGUGUCAGCCGCCGCGGUAAUACCAGCACCCCGAGUGGUCGGGACGUUUAUUGGGCCUAAAGCAUCCGUAGCCGGUUCUACAAGUCUUCCGUUAAAUCCACCUGCUUAACAGAUGGGCUGCGGAAGAUACUAUAGAGCUAGGAGGCGGGAGAGGCAAGCGGUACUCGAUGGGUAGGGGUAAAAUCCGUUGAUCCAUUGAAGACCACCAGUGGCGAAGGCGGCUUGCCAGAACGCGCUCGACGGUGAGGGAUGAAAGCUGGGGGAGCAAACCGGAUUAGAUACCCGGGUAGUCCCAGCUGUAAACGAUGCAGACUCGGUGAUGAGUUGGCUUAUUGCUAACUCAGUGCCGCAGGGAAGCCGUUAAGUUUGCCGCCUGGGGAGUACGGUCGCAAGACUGAAACUUAAAGGAAUUGGCGGGGGAGCACCACAAGGGGUGAAGCCUGCGGUUCAAUUGGAGUCAACGCCGG
rnacentral:rRNA from 1 species